rnacentral:lncRNA from 1 species
CGGAUCUCCCAGAAACAGAGCAUAGCCCAUGUGAUACAGUUUUCAUUUGACAGUGGUGCCUGCUGCAUCUCCAUGUGCAUCAAAAGCAUUGCUUCUUGCACAGUUAAUCUCCUUGUUGAUCCCCUAGACAUAAAAGGGAAAACUGAAAUCAUUUUAUCCCUAAACAACUUUCUAGUGGUUUUACUAACUUAUUUUUUACUUUUUUUUAAGACUUAUUUACUUAUCUCAUGUAAGUAAGUACAUUGUCACUGUCUUCAGACCAGAAGAAGGCAUCAGAUCCCGUUACAGAUGGUUGUGAGCCACCAUGUGGUUGCUGGGAUUUGAACUCAGGACCUCUGGAAGAUCAGUCAGUGCUCUUAACCACUGAGCCAUCUCUGCAGCCCCUAUUUUUUACUUUUGAUAUGUAGCUCUUGCUUUGGUAAGCUGACUGAGCUCAUUUUGAAAGUAUAGACAUUUUCCAAGGGGUUAAAAACUCAUUUGGAGCUAGGAAUGUACUUCAGUGAUAGAGCUCAUCCAAGCAUGCUUUAGGCGCCAGGUUCAGUUCUCAGCAGCACAGGAAGAGAGUAGGAAAGAAGCCGGGUAGUCAGGCUGCGGGGCCAGCAUUUGGGAGGAUGAAGAGGAAGCUGUUCCUCCCGUUCGUUAACUAGGGUCAUCCAUUGGGAUUGGUAAACUAGGUGUUUAGGAUAUGUACAAAAUAUGUUAAUUUAUUAAUGGUCAUCUAAGGGAUUUCUGUGUGCACUGAGAUCUGAAUCACAGAUACAAGUUAG